GAUAACAGGCUGAUCUUCCCCAAGAGCACACAUCGACGGGAAGGUUUGGCACCUCGAUGUCGGCUCUUCGCCACCUGGGGCUGUAGUAUGUUCCAAGGGUUGGGCUUACUACUUAGAUGCUUUCAGUAGUUAUCCGCUCCACACUUG
rnacentral:ncRNA from 1 species